UGCAGUCUCGCUGUCCCCAAGCUGCCGCUGCCUCAUGGCACCAAUGGCCGUGGCCCUCAUCCUUGGUUGGUGGCUGGUGGCUGUAAGCAGGGCACAGCAACCAACAUACACUGAGCAGAAGGACAACGUGCAGGACAUGGCUGAGUUCUCCUUGGCUGAAAUAAAGCAGGCAGAUGCAGUAAUAUAACAGUGCCAGUACCAGGGGUUGGCACCUGCAAGGACAUUGGAGAAGAGUGACCCCGUGAAGCUGGUGGUGACAGAUCACAGGUAUCCUCCACCUGGCAUUUCCCUCAGCCCCAGAGAACUUGUGAAGAUGGGGACCAAUAUCUCCAUCCAGUGCUGGAACAAGAAGCAUGGGGCCUCCUUCCUUCUGCACAAGGGAGGGCACUCAGCUCCAGUCUGUCUCGCUCCAAUUUAUAGGAGGGAGAGAAGGUUCUUUGAAAUAUGUAUGCCCGGCGUGAGAUUAAGAAACAACGGUUCAAAUGUUGGCCCGACCAGUUUAUUACAAAUGUUAAUAAGGGAGAUGGGGAAAGGGGAGGACGGACACUAUUAAGGAUUGGGGUGAUGGGGAAGGGAAGGCGAGCGAUAGAAAAGAUAGAAAGAGGCGAGAAUUGCGUAAAGCGGGGAUAGUCACCACCAGGAUCCAGCAGCAGUCCCGUUGCACGACGUUCCGACGGUCCGAGGCCGAAGGGCAGGAGCAGCGAGGCCGGUGUUGGGCAACGAAAGGGUGCAGGUCAGGGAGGAAGCAGCAGGUCUCAGGUAGCAGGCCCAGGGAAGUCCGUCAGCAAACGGUCCGUAGAGAAGGAUCUGAAGGCAGGAAGCUCGUGUCGUGGUGAGAGAUCAUGAGAUAUCAGCCUCUGUGUUUCGGUGAGAGAACCCCUCAAGUCUGUCGU